AGCGUAGACGGCGACACAAGUCUGAAGUGAAAUACCCGGGCUCAACCUGGGAACUGCUUUGGAAACUGUGUUGCUAGAGUGCUGGAGAGGUAAGCGGAAUUCCUAGUGUAGCGGUGAAAUGCGUAGAUAUUAGGAAGAACACCAGUGGCGAAGGCGGCUUACUGGACAGUAACUGACGUUGAGGUACGAAAGCAUGGGGAAGCAAACA
rnacentral:rRNA from 1 species